AUUAUAAAUACGUCCUACCAUCUAGUUCUACUAUCUAAUCUUGUUCGGUAAAAUUAAUU
rnacentral:sRNA from 1 species